ACGAACGCUGGCGGCACGCUUAACACAUGCAAGUCGAACGAGAGAAGAGAAGCUUGCUUUUCUGAUCUAGUGGCGGACGGGUGAGUAACACGUGAGCAAUCUGCCUUUCAGAGGGGGAUACCGAUUGGAAACGAUCGUUAAUACCGCAUAACAUAAUUGAACCGCAUGAUUUGAUUAUCAAAGAUUUAUCGCUGAAAGAUGAGCUCGCGUCUGAUUAGCUAGUUGGUAAGGUAACGGCUUACCAAGGCGACGAUCAGUAGCCGGACUGAGAGGUUGAUCGGCCACAUUGGGACUGAGACACGGCCCAGACUCCUACGGGAGGCAGCAGUGGGGAAUAUUGCACAAUGGAGGAAACUCUGAUGCAGCGAUGCCGCGUGAGGGAAGAAGGUUUUAGGAUUGUAAACCUCUGUCUUCAGGGACGAAAAAAGACGGUACCUGAGGAGGAAGCUCCGGCUAACUACGUGCCAGCAGCCGCGGUAAUACGUAGGGAGCGAGCGUUGUCCGGAAUUACUGGGUGUAAAGGGAGCGUAGGCGGGAUCGCAAGUCAGAUGUGAAAACUAUGGGCUUAACCCAUAAACUGCAUUUGAAACUGUGGUUCUUGAGUGAAGUAGAGGUAAGCGGAAUUCCUAGUGUAGCGGUGAAAUGCGUAGAUAUUAGGAGGAACAUCAGUGGCGAAGGCGGCUUACUGGGCUUUAACUGACGCUGAGGCUCGAAAGCGUGGGGAGCAAACAGGAUUAGAUACCCUGGUAGUCCACGCCGUAAACGAUGAUUACUAGGUGUGGGGGGACUGACCCCUUCCGUGCCGCAGCAAACGCAAUAAGUAAUCCACCUGGGGAGUACGACCGCAAGGUUGAAACUCAAAGGAAUUGACGGGGGCCCGCACAAGCAGUGGAGUAUGUGGAUUAAUUCGAAGCAACGCGAAGAACCUUACCAGGUCUUGACAUCGUAUGCAUAGCUCAGAGAUGAGUGAAAUCUCUUCGGAGACAUAUAGACAGGUGGUGCAUGGUUGUCGUCAGCUCGUGUCGUGAGAUGUUGGGUUAAGUCCCGCAACGAGCGCAACCCCUAUCUUCAGUAGCCAGCAUUUAAGGUGGGCACUCUGGAGAGACUGCCAGGGAUAACCUGGAGGAAGGUGGGGAUGACGUCAAAUCAUCAUGCCCCUUAUGACCUGGGCCUCACACGUACUACAAUGGCUGUCAACAGAGGGAAGCAAAGCCGCGAGGUGGAGCAAACCCCUAAAAGCAGUCUUAGUUCGGAUUGUAGGCUGCAACCCGCCUACAUGAAGUCGGAAUUGCUAGUAAUCGCAGAUCAGCAUGCUGCGGUGAAUACGUUCCCGGGCCUUGUACACACCGCCCGUCACGCCAUGGGAGUCGGUAACACCCGAAGCCUGUAGUCUAACCGCAAGGAGGACGCAGUCGAAGGUGGGAUUGAUGACUGGGGUG
rnacentral:rRNA from 1 species